AUUGAACGCUGGCGGCAGGCCUAACACAUGCCAGUCGAGCGGAUGAAGGGAGCUUGCUCCUGGAUUCAGCGGCGGACGGGUGAGUAAUGCCUAGGAAUCUGCCUGGUAGUGGGGGAUAACGUCCGGAAACGGGCGCUAAUACCGCAUACGUCCUGAGCGAGAAAGUGGGGGAUCUUCGGACCUCACGCUAUCAGAUGAGCCUAGGUCGGAUUAGCUAGUUGGUGGGGUAAAGGCCUACCAAGGCGACGAUCCGUAACUGGUCUGAGAGGAUGAUCAGUCACACUGGAACUGAGACACGGUCCAGACUCCUACGGGAGGCAGCAGUGGGGAAUAUUGGACAAUGGGCGAAAGCCUGAUCCAGCCAUGCCGCGUGUGUGAAGAAGGUCUUCGGAUUGUAAAGCACUUUAAGUUGGGAGGAAGGGCAGUAAGUUAAUACCUUGCUGUUUUGACGUUACCAACAGAAUAAGCACCGGCUAACUUCGUG
rnacentral:rRNA from 1 species